GAUGAACGCUGGCGGCGUGCCUAAUACAUGCAAGUCGAGCGAACAGACGAGGAGCUUGCUCCUCUGACGUUAGCGGCGGACGGGUGAGUAACACGUGGAUAACCUACCUAUAAGACUGGGAUAACUUCGGGAAACCGGAGCUAAUACCGGAUAAUAUAUUGAACCGCAUGGUUCAAUAGUGAAAGACGGUUUUGCUGUCACUUAUAGAUGGAUCCGCGCCGCAUUAGCUAGUUGGUAAGGUAACGGCUUACCAAGGCGACGAUGCGUAGCCGACCUGGGAGGGUGAUCGGCCACACGGGAACUGAGACACGGUCCAGGCUCCUAAGGGAGGGAGCAGUAGGGAAUCUUCCGCAAUGGGCGGAAGCCUUACGGAGCAACGCCGCGUGAGGUAAGAAAGGCUUCGGAUCGUAAAACUCUGUUUUUAGGGGAAAACAAAUGUGGAAGUAACUAUGCACGUCUUGACGGUACCUAAUCAGAAAGCCACGGGUAACUACGUG
rnacentral:rRNA from 1 species